UGGGGAAUAUUGCGCAAUGGGCGAAAGCCUGACGCAGCAACGCCGCGUGAGGGAUGACGGCCUUCGGGUUGUAAACCUCUUUCAGCAGGGACGAAGCGAGAGUGACUGUACCUGCAGAAGAAGCGCCGGCUAACUACGUGCCAGCAGCCGCGGUAAUACGUAGGGCGCAAGCGUUGUCCGGAUUUAUUGGGCGUAAAGAGCUCGUAGGCGGUCUGUCGCGUCGGAUGUGAAAACCCGGAGCUCAACUCCGGGCCUGCAUUCGAUACGGGCAGACUUGAGUACUGCAGGGGAGACUGGAAUUCCUGGUGUAGCGGUGGAAUGCGCAGAUAUCAGGAGGAACACCGGUGGCGAAGGCGGGUCUCUGGGCAGAAACUGACGCUGAGGAGCGAAAGCGUGGGGA
rnacentral:rRNA from 1 species